rnacentral:rRNA from 1 species
GACACAGAAUCCCCUAGUAGCGGGAGUGACCGGGAAAGAGCUCAAUUUGAAAUCUGGCGUGCUCAGUGCCUCAGAUUUGUUUCUAUAGAGUCUUUUUCCGUGCCGGACUGUGUCCAAUUCCCUUGGAACAGGGUAUCAAAGAGGGUGAUAAUCCCGUACUUGACACAAUGACCGGUGCUCUGUGAUACUUCUUCUACAAGUCGAGUUGUUUGGGAAUGCAGCUCAAAGGGGGUGGUUAGGCCUCAGGUCAUCCGAGUUGUAAUCUAUAGAAGUGUUUUCCGUGCUGGCUCAUGUACAAGUCCCUUGGAACAGGGCGUCAUAGAGGGUGAGAAUCCCGUCCUUGACAUGAACUACCAGUGCUCUGUGAUACAUUUUCAACGAGUCGAGUUGUUUGGGAAUGCAGCUCAAAAUGGGUGGUAAAUUCCAUCUAAAGCUAAAUAUUGGCGAGAGACCGAUAGCGAACAAGUACCGUGAGGGAAAGAUGAAAAGCACUUUGGAAAGAGACUUCCAUCUAAAGCUAAAUAUUGACGAGAGACCGAUAGCCAACAACUCCGUGAGGGAAAGAUGAAAAGCUCUUUAGAAAGAGAAAUAACAGUACAAGAAAUUGAAAAAAAGGAAACUAUUGAAAUCGUCGUGACUGAGAGGCUCAGCCCGUUCUGCCGGUGUAUUCCCCUCAGUCAGGUCAACAUCAGUUUUGUUCGGUGGAUAAGGGCAGUUGGAAGGGGCACCCUCCGGAGUGUUAUAGCCAGCUGUCGCAUACAUCGGAUGAGACUGAGGAAUGCAGCUCGCCUUUAUGGACGGGGUUCCCCACGUUCGAGCUUACGAUGGUCAAUAAUGGCUAUAACGACCCGUCUUGAACACAGACCAAAAUUUUUUGUUUUUUUUUGUUUUAAUUUGUGUUAUUAUUUUUAUAUA